rnacentral:rRNA from 1 species
ACGCUAUCUUGUAUAGAGUGGCGCACGGGUGAGUAACGCGUGGGAACCUGCCUUUCUCUGCGGGACAACGGUUGGAAACGGCCGCUAAUACCGCAUACGCCCUACGGGGGAAAGGUCAGCCGGAGAAAGAGGGGCCCGCGUUAGAUUAGCUAGUUGGUGGGGUAAUGGCCUACCAAGGCGACGAUCUAUAGCUGGUCUGAGAGGAUGAUCAGCCACACUGGGACUGAGACACGGCCCAGACUCCUACGGGAGGCAGCAGUGGGGAAUAUUGGACAAUGGGGGCAACCCUGAUCCAGCAAUGCCGCGUGUGUGAUGAAGGCCCUAGGGUUGUAAAGCACUUUCACUGGUGAAGAUGAUGACGGUAACCAGAGAAGAAGCCCCGGCUAACUUCGUGCCAGCAGCCGCGGUAAUACGAAGGGGGCGAGCGUUGUUCGGAAUUACUGGGCGUAAAGGGCGCGUAGGCGGCUCUUUAAGUUAGGCGUGAAAGCCCCGGGCUCAACCUGGGAACUGCGCUUAAGACUGGAGAGCUAGAAAACGGAAGAGGGUAGUGGAAUUCCCAGUGUAGAGGUGAAAUUCGUAGAUAUUGGGAAGAACACCAGUGGCGAAAGCGGCUACCUGGUCCGGAUUUGACGCUGAGGCGCGAAAGCGUGGGGAGCAAACAGGAUUAGAU